rnacentral:misc_RNA from 1 species
UAAUUACGGUCCUCAAACUCAU